rnacentral:rRNA from 1 species
GACGAACGCUGGCGGCGUGCCUAAUACAUGCAAGUCGAACGAAGCUGUUUUAACUGGUGCUUGCACCGACUUAAACAACUGAGUGGCGAACGGGUGAGUAACACGUGGGUAACCUGCCCCAAAGCGGGGGCUAACAUUUGGAAACAGAUGCUAAUACCGCAUAACCACAGAAACCACAAGGUUUCUGUGUCAAAGAUGGUUUCGGCUAACACUUUGGGAUGGACCCGCGGCGUAUUAGCUAGUUGGUAAGGUAAUGGCUUACCAAGGCAAUGGUACGGAGCCGAACUGAGAGGUUGAUCGGCCACAUUGGGACUGAGACACGGCCCAAACUCCUACGGGAGGCAGCAGUAGGGAAUCUUCCACAAUGGACGAAAGUCUGAUGGAGCAACGCCGCAUGAGUGAAGAAGGUUUUCGGAUCGUAAAACUCUGUUGUCAGAGAAGAACGUGUGCGAGAGUAACUGCUCGUGCAGUGACGGUAUCUGGCCAGAAAGCCACGGCUAACUACGUGCCAGCCGCCGCCGUAA